rnacentral:rRNA from 1 species
GAUGAACGCUGGCGGUAUGCUUAACACAUGCCAGUCGAACGGACUCUUCGGAGUUAGUGGCGGAUGGGUGAGUAACGCGUUAGAAUCUGGCUUUGGGUUUGGGACAUCCACUGGAAACGGUUGCUAAUACCGGCUGUGCUGCGACGUAAAAGCGAAAUUGCCUGAAGAUGAGCCUGCGUCUGAUUAGCUAGUUGGUGAGGUAAAGGCUCACUAAGUCAGCGAUCAGUAGCUGGUCUGAGAGGAUGACCAGCCACACUGGGAAUGAGACACGGCCCAGAGGCAUACGGGAGGCAGGAGUGGGGAAUUUUCCGCAAUGGGCGAAAGCCUGACGGAGGAAUACCGCGUGAGGGAAGAAGGCUCUUGGGGUGUAAACCUCUUUGCUUAGGGAAGAACAAAAUGACGGUACCUAAGGAAUCAGCAUCGGCUAACUCCGUG